rnacentral:rRNA from 1 species
UACGUAGGGUGCAAGCGUUGUCCGGAAUUAUUGGGCGUAAAGAGCUCGUAGGCGUUUGUCGCGUCGAAUGUGAAAACCCGGGGCUCAACCCGGGCCUGCAUUCGAUACGGGCAGACUAGAGUUCGGUAGGGGAGUCUGGAAUUCCUGGUGUAGCGGUGAAAAUGCGCAGAUAUCAGGAGGAACACCGGUGGCGAAGGCGGUUCUCCUGG